UACGUAGGUGGCAGGCGUUGUCCGGAAUUAUUGGGCGUAAAGCGCGCGCAGGCGGUCUCUUAAGUCUGAUGUGAAAUCCCGUGGCUUAACCACGGGCGGUCAUUGGAAACUGGGGGACUUGAGUGCAGAAGAGAAGAGCGGAAUUCCACGUGUAGCGGUGAAAUGCGUAGAGAUGUGGAGGAACACCAGUGGCGAAGGCGGCUCUUUGGUCUGUAACUGACGCUGAGGCGCGAAAGCGUGGGGAGCGAACAGG
rnacentral:rRNA from 1 species